GCGCAGCAGGCGAGAAUUUUUCUCAAUGGGCGAAAGCCUGAAGGAGCGACGCCGCGUGGAGGAUGAAGGCUUUCGGGUUGUAAACUCCUGUCAUUUGAGAACAAGUGUAGCCAAAUAACUACUGGCUACUUGAUAGUAUCAGAAGAGGAAGGGACGGCUAACUCUGUGCCAGCAGCCGCGGUAAUACAGAGGUCCCAAACGUUGUUCGGAUUCAUUGGGGGUAAAGGGUGCGUAGGUGGCGCCGUAAGUCGGGUGUGAAAUUUCGGAGCUUAACUCCGAAACUGCAUUCGAUACUGCGGUGCUUGAGGACUGGAGAGGAGACUGGAAUUUACGGUGUAGCAGUGAAAUGCGUAGAGAUCGUAAGGAAGACCAGUGGCGAAGGCGGGUCUCUGGACAGUUCCUGACACUGAUGCACGAAGGCCAGGGGAG
rnacentral:rRNA from 1 species